rnacentral:rRNA from 1 species
UACGUAGGGGGCUAGCGUUAUCCGGAAUUACUGGGCGUAAAGGGUGCGUAGGUGGUUUCUUAAGUCUGAGGUUAAAGUUCGGGGCUCAACCCCGUGAUGCCUUAGAAACUGGUAGGCUAGAGUGCAGGAGAGGUGAGUGGAAUUCCAUGUGUAGCGGUAAAAUGCGUAGAUAUAUGGAGGAACACCAGUGGCGAAGGCGGCUCACUGGCCUGUAACUGACGCUGAGGCUCGAAAGCGUGGGGAGCAAAUAGGAUUAGAUACCCCUGUAGUCCCUGA